UUUGGUUAUUAUCUUGAAUAUUAUCAUAGAUAGAGAUAAACUGUACACAGCAAAAAUGUUCAGUAAAGUAAGAUCUACAAAUAAGUCAACAUGACCAAAAUGGUCUGUUGACCCCUUUAGGAGUUAUUGCCCUUUAUAGUCCAUUUUAAACCAUUUUACGUAAAUCUUAGUCAUCUUUUACAAAAAUCUUCUCCUCUGAAACUACUUGGCCAAAUUAAACCAAACUUGACCACAAUCAUCAUUGGGGUAUCUAGUUAAAAAUUGUGUCCGGUGACCUGGUCAACCAACCAAGAUGGCCGCCAUGGCUAAAAAUAGAACAUAGGGGUAAAAUGCAGUUUUUGGCUUAUCACUCAAAAACCAAAGCAUUCAGAGCAAAUCUGACAUCGGGUAAAAUUGUUUAUCAGGUCAAGAUCUAUCUGCCCUGAAAUUUUGAGAUGAAUUGGACAACCCGUUGAUAGGUUGCUGCCCCUGAAUUGGUAAUUUUAAGGACAUUUUGCUGUUUUUUGGUUAUUAUCUUGAAUAUUAUUAUAGAUAGAGAUAAACUGUAAACAGCAAAAAUGUUCAGCAAAGUAAGAUCUACAAACAAGUCAACAAGACCAAAAUGGUCUGUUGAUUUCUUUAGGAGUUAUUGCCCUUUAUAGUCAAUUUUUAACCAUUUUUCGUAAAUCUUAGUUAUCUUUUACAAAAAUCUUCUCCUCUGAAACUACUGGGCCAAAUUAAACCAAACUUAGCCUCAAUCAUCAUUGGGGUAUCUAGUUUAAAAAUUGUGUCCCGUGACCUGGCUAACCAACCAAGAUGGCCGCCAUUGCUAAAAAUAGAACAUAGGGGUGAAAUGUAGAUUUUGGCUUAAAACUCUGAAACCGCAGCCUUUAGAGCAAAUCUGACAUGGGGUAAAAUUGUUUAUCAGGUCAACAUCUAUCUGCCCUGAAAUUUUCAGAUGAAUCUGUCAACCUGUUGUUGGGUUGCUGCCCCUGAAUUGGUAAUUUUAAGGAAAUUUUGCUGUUUUUGGUUAUUAUCUUGAAUAUUAUUAUAGAUAGAGAUAAACUGUAAACAUCAAUAAUGUUAAGCAAAGUAAGAUUUACAAAUAAGUCAACAUGACGGAAAUGGUCAAUUGACCCCUAAGGAGUUAUUGUCCUUUAUAGUCAAUUUUUAACAAUUUUCAUAAAAUUUGUAAAUUUUAACUAACAUUUUCCACUGAAACUACUGGGCCAAGUUCAUUAUAGAUAGAGAUAAUUGUAAGUAGCAAGAAUGUUCAGUAAAGUAAGAUGUACAAACACAUCACCAUCACCAAAACACAAUUUUGUCAUGAAUCCAUCUGCUUCCUUUGUUUAAUAUUCACAUAGACCAAGGUGAGCGACACAGGCUCUUUAGAGCCUCUAGUUUAAUUCCC
rnacentral:lncRNA from 1 species